UACGUAGGGUGCAAGCGUUGUCCGGAAUUAUUGGGCGUAAAGAGCUCGUAGGCGGUUUGUCGCGUCUGCUGUGAAAACUCGGGGCUUAACCCCGGGCCUGCAGUGGGUACGGGCAGACUAGAGUGCGGUAGGGGAGACUGGAAUUCCUGGUGUAGCGGUGAAAUGCGCAGAUAUCGAGAGGAACACCGGUGGCGAAGGCGGUUCUCUGGGCCUUACCUGACGCUGAGGAGCGAAAGCGUGGGGAGCGAACAGG
rnacentral:rRNA from 1 species